rnacentral:lncRNA from 1 species
CAAAUAGGAACCAAUAAGGAGAGUGUUUUCAUUUCCAGCACUGGAGGCAACUCCUGUGUUCCCUUGGAGAUCUGAAUCAGAGCCGGUGAUUCAUUUCCCAUCCCACCUUGAACUGUGCUGAAGGAGAAGCAUUGAAAUCGAAAGUAGAUGAAAGAAGAAAAUUGCAAAUUACCCAGGUUUUUGAGGCCAAUUUUCAAAAGGAAAGCAAACAACCUGUGACAUGCAAGGGUUUAUCAUAUAAUUGCUGCUUCAGCAAGCAUCAAUGCUAUCUACGUGGAAGCUGUGUUUCUCCCUGGAGACUAAUAUGUAUUGAUCAAGCAAGACCCACUGAAGCAGUGGCCCAACUGAUGCUACAUCCAAAUCAGCUGAGAUGAUGCAGCCAUAGACAACUACAGACAGGAUUUCUGCGUUUAAUCAUGAUCCCCAUGAAAAGAGAAGAUGAGGAGAAAUCUUUCUCUGUAUGUUUAUCUUAUUGGUUGUUGAAAAAAGCACUGUUGGCCAAUAAGGGGGCAAGUUAGGUGGGACUAGGAGUAGAAGAGGAUUCUGGAAAAUAUAGUAAAGUCUUGUCAUUCAGCCAGGAAGUAAUAUAGCAGGCAGACUUAGAAUAUAAUCAGGGUCAAACAGGAAAUAUCUCUCUCUUCCUGUUCCUCCUGCUCUGUUCUCUGUGCAUCUGCAAUGUGAGCCCGGGAAGACAGGAUGCCUGCCACUGGCAUCCCCAAUAAGAUGACAGUAGCAGUCUGCCUUGUCUGGGUCAGUGUACUGUCUGGCUCUGAUCAUACCCAGAAUCGACUGAGACCUGGAGUAUAGCCAGAGACUGACUGGUGAGAAGUUGCACUGUUGAAGCUUUUAUUAUUACUCCUUGCCUCUGAUUAAAGGACUAUGUGAUCAAGUUGAGCAUGGAAUAAGAACAAAAAAAGCAGAGUGAUCUCAAUUCCAGCAACGGUAGCAAAUCCAGUCAUUCUCUUAGAGCUCUCCAUCACAAGUGUUGAUUCACUAUUCUCCCCCACCUGGAUAUGUGUGCACCAGAUACAGAGAAAUUGAAAUUGGAUGAGAGCAGAAAAAAUGCAACUUACCUUUUCUCUGACUCCGAAUUUCAAAAGAAAAAAAAAACAGGUAGCAAGUACUAGAUGAUUAUAUAUCUGGCUGCUUGGACUUACAUCCCAACUAUAUAUGUGAAAGCCUCCAUUUCUGUCUGAACGAAGCUGGUUUUGAUCCUGGGCUGCCCAUAGCUGCUUGCUGAUAACAUUUUUGAUAUGCUGUGUCAGAAUCCCCAAUUACGAUGAUAAAUGCUGAAUUUAAAUGGUUUUUCAUGUCUUUCUUUGGACAUAGAUGAAAUUUCCUCACUCAGAAGUGGAUAUUAGACAUAAAGCAAAGGAUACCCUACCUACAGUAAAUAAUCCUAGUGAAACUAGGUAACAAAGAUGAUGGUAAGAGAAAUAUACAUGUAUCUCCCUGGCAAUGGGACAUAGACAAGAAAUCCACAAUGAUUUAGUGAUAAUGAAGUGGACAAGGAAGGAUGGAAGUAGAGAGAAGCAGUGAGGAGGGGAGUGUUAGGAGAACAUGAGAGAAUGGGAUGGUCCAGAUGGAAGAAUAAGAGAUGAGACCAAGGAAUGAGAUAUCUUGACAGAGGGAGAUAUUAUGGGGUUAGGGAGGCACCAAGAAAUUUCCCUGUGAUCUACAAAAAAGACACACACCCUCCCCCGCUAAAAUUCUAAGCAACACAUUAGAGUGUUCCUGAACUGUCCUUCAACUAUAAUCAUACUGACAGCAACCUUAAUUGUCAUCAUGGAAACUUCAUCCAGUAAAUGAUAUAAGCAGAUGCAGCUAUAUACAACUAAAUACUUGGUCAAGCUUCAGGUGUCAAUUUGAAAAGAUCAAGUUACAAUAAUAUAAACAAAGGGGUCAGUCCCAUAAUGGGAAACUUAAAGAAACUGCCAACAAGAUCUAGCAUACUUCUUAGUGAGUUGAUGUCACAAAGCCACUUAUAAAUAGUUUAUGCUAUUCUUGGGAAACAAUUCAACCUUACUUCGUGACAGCUGAGAAUGUAUGCUGAAAUUGUAAACUUGGCCAAGGACCAUGGAUGCAGAAAUGAUGAACUCUGGACUACUAGGUACCUCUACCAAUUUUCAGUAACAGUAUACUUCCAUGACUAUAUGCAAAAUAUGACAGGGAGCUACAAUCAUGGUAAUAUUCUGGGAUAUUGAAUUAAUGUGGAAGUAACCAAGAAAAUUUUAUUUCUUUUAAGGGUCAGUUCAUGAGAUGGAAGCUAUACAUAAAACUGCUAAAGUAGCCAACCACCUGAG